rnacentral:rRNA from 1 species
CGCCCAGACUCCUACGGAGGCAGCAGUGGGAAUUUUGACCAUGGGCGCAAGCCUGAUCCAGCCAUGCUCCGUGUCUGAGAAGGCUUUCGGGUGUUUAAGACUUUUGUCAGGGAAGAAAAGGGCGGGGUAAUACCCCUGUCUGAUGACCGUACCUUGAAAAUAAGCACCGGCUAACUACGUGCCAGCAGCCGCGGUAAUACGUAGGGUGCGAGCGUUAAUCGGAAUUACUGGGCGUAAAGCGGGCGCAGACGGUUACUUAAGCAGGAUGUGAAAUCCCCGGGCUCAACCUGGGAACUGCGUUCUGAACUGGGUGACUAGAGUGUGUCAGAGGGAGGUAGAAUUCCACGUGUAGCAGUGAAAUGCGUAGAGAUGUGGAGGAAUACCGAUGGCGAAGGCAGCCUCCUGGGAUAACACUGACGUUCAUGCCCGAAAGCGUGGGUAGCAAACAGGAUUAGAUACCCUGGUAGUCCACGCCCUAAACGAUGUCGAUUAGCUGUUGGGCAGCAUGACUGCUUAGUAGCGAAGCUAACGCGUGAAAUCGACCGCCUGGGGAGUACGGUCGCAAGAUUAAAACUCAAAGGAAUUGACGGGGACCCGCACAAGCGGUGGAUGAUGUGGAUUAAUUCGAUGCAACGCGAAGAACCUUACCUGGUCUUGACAUGUACGGAACCCUCCAGAGACGGAGGGGUGCCUUCGGGAGCCGUAACACAGGUGCUGCAUGGCUGUCGUCAGCUCGUGUCGUGAGAUGUUGGGUUAAGUCCCGCAACGAGCGCAACCCUUGUCAUUAGUUGCCAUCAUUAAGUUGGGCACUCUAAUGAGACUGCCGGUGACAAGCCGGAGGAAGGUGGGGAUGACGUCAAGUCCUCAUGGCCCUUAUGACCAGGGCUUCACACGUCAUACAAUGGUCGGUACAGAGGGUAGCCAAGCCGCGAGGUGGAGCCAAUCUCACAAAACCGAUCGUAGUCCGGAUUGCACUCUGCAACUCGAGUGCAUGAAGUCGGAAUCGCUAGUAAUCGCAGGUCAGCAUACUGCGGUGAAUACGUUCCCGGGUCUUGCACACACCGCCCGUC